rnacentral:rRNA from 1 species
CCUACGGGAGGCAACAGUGGGGAAUAUUGGACAAUGGGGGGAACCCUGAUCCAGCGACGCCGCGUGAGUGAAGAAGUAUUUCGGUAUGUAAAGCUCUAUCAGCAGGGAAGAAAAUGACGGUACUUGACUAAGAAGCCCCGGCUAACUACGUGCCAGCAGCCGCGGUAAUACGUAGGGGGCAAGCGUUAUCCGGAUUUACUGGGGGGAAAGGGAGCGUAGACGGGGCAGCAAGUCUGAUGUGAAAGGUCGGGGCCCAACCCCGGGACUGCAUUGGAAACUGUUGAACUGGAGUACAGGAGAGGUAAGCGGAAUUCCUAGUGUAGCGGUGAAAUGCGUAGAUAUUAGGAGGAACACCAGUGGCGAAGGCGGCUUACUGGACUGUAACUGACGUUGAGGCUCGAAAGCGUGGGGAGCAAACAGGAUUAGAUACCCCAGUAGUC